CGGGGUGGUAAUAGUUUGCACCCAGUUCACAUUGGUACCUUCAUUCCUGUCGGGACUGCCAUUUGAAAUAUGAAAUUCGUAAUUGUCAUUUCUUUAAAGAUAGCCCUGAAGUUCGAUGCCCGUACGUUGACGUAUCUAUUCAUGAUUCGUAAUCGCGAUAUUUCAGCCAUAAUCUGCGAUGUCAGGUGAUUAUUAGAGAACAGUCAGUUAAAGAAAUCGUGCGAUUUUUAUUUCUCUGUAAGCUCAAAAAUCUAAGUGAAUGUGCUUCAAGUGAAAUGUUUAAAUGACAACGAAUUCUUUUUCACUUCAUCAAUCAAAUGUCUAAAAUUGAUUAUUGUACCUAUACUCAUAUUUUAGUUUUCGUCGAUUAUCAUGACAAAGAAAGCUCUUAAUAAUGAGGAGGUUCAAUUUGGUGAAUUAUGUUCAACUAGUGAUUUUCAACCAAAAAAAAAAUGUAAGCAUUUUAUUAGUAUCAAUUGGAACUGCUCACAUAACGAUUUUGUUAUUGGUCAUCUUUUUCACAGAACCUAUUCAAAAAUGACUGCAAAAUCACAAGUUGAUUUUUUUUUUCAAAUAGCCAAAUUAAUUCAAUUCUGUCAUUUGGACUCAUUUAUUGAACAUAUGAAAAUUUAAAUCAGGUAUGUGAAAAAUCGAUACGUACUUGUUUUUGACGUUUGUCAAAAAAAAAUGAACUUGCAAUGCCACAAACAAAUAAUCGAAAUAAAUGUUUUCUCUUAUUUCCAUCAAAAUCUUCGAUUGAAAUGUGUUUUUGUAUUCAGGAAAAUAAUACGUUUUAAAAAAAUGGCCAAAGACGUCGAUGAAGGAUUUUACCGACACCGACGUCUUCAUAAUGAAGAAUGUGAAUGUUACUAAAAAUUACCAACCGAAAAAUAUCUUGAACACUACCUACCGAAGAAUUUUAAUUUACCUUCGCAUGAUCAAAAUGCACAUGCCUAUAACAAAUGCCAUUAAAAUCGGAAUAGUUGAACGCGAAAUAUUGAAGUUGCAGCAAAUUCUCCAUUGCGUAUGAGAGAGUAUAUCCGAAGAAACUGAGAUUUUCAUGGAACCACAUACCUACUGCAGUCUUCACGAUACGAAUUUUCAUACCAAUGAAAGAUAGGUAUGUUAAAUUCCGAAAAUUUCACCUUUGCACAUAAUAAUAAUUUUAUUGAUUCUUUGGGACAUAAGGAAGUAUGUACUAUGUAUUGGACAAGUCAAAAUAAAAUGAAAAAUAA